rnacentral:rRNA from 1 species
GGGUUGUGAGGUUAAGCGACUAAGCGUACACGGUGGAUGCCCUGGCAGUCAGAGGCGAUGAAGGGCGUGCUAAUCUGCGAUAAGCGCCGGUAAGGUGAUAUGAACCGUUAUAACCGGCGAUACCCGAAUGGGGAAACCCAGUGUGAUUCGUCACACUAUCAUUAACUGAAUCCAUAGGUUAAUGAGGCGAACCGGGGGAACUGAAACAUCUAAGUACCCCGAGGAAAAGAAAUCAACCGAGAUUCCCCCAGUAGCGGCGAGCGAACGGGGAGGAGCCCAGAGCCUGAAUCAGCAUGUGUGUUAGUGGAAGCGUCUGGAAAGGCGCGCGAUACAGGGUGACAGCCCCGUACACAAAAGCGCAUGUGCUGUGAGCUCGAUGAGUAGGGCGGGACACGUGGUAUCCUGUCUGAAUAUGGGGGACCAUCCUCCAAGGCUAAAUACUCCUGACUGACCGAUAGUGAACCAGUACCGUGAGGGAAAGGCGAAAAGAACCCCGGCGAGGGGAGUGAAAAAGAACCUGAAACCGUGUACGUACAAGCAGUGGGAGCCCCACCACUAAGCCAGUGGUGAACUCCACAUCCGCAUCCUUUGCUGAGGAUACGGUUAACGGAGCGAAAGCGACGUUCAACCGCAAAACAAGCAGAGGGGGCUUAGUGGUGGGGUGACUGCGUACCUUUUGUAUAAUGGGUCAGCGACUUAUAUUCUGUAGCAAGGUUAACCGAAUAGGGGAGCCGGAGGGAAACCGAGUCUUAAUUGGGCGUUAAGUUGCAGGGUAUAGACCCGAAACCCGGUGAUCUAGCCAUGGGCAGGUUGAAGGUUGGGUAACACUAACUGGAGGACCGAACCGACUAAUGUUGAAAAAUUAGCGGAUGACCUGUGGCUGGGGGUGAAAGGCCAAUCAAACCGGGAGAUAGCUGGUUCUCCCCGAAAGCUAUUUAGGUAGCGCCUCGUGAAUUCAUCUCCGGGGGUAGAGCACUGUUUCGGCUAGGGGGCCAUCCCGGCUUACCAACCCGAUGCAAACUGCGAAUACCGGAGAAUGUUAUCACGGGAGACACACGGCGGGUGCUAACGUCCGUCGUGAAGAGGGAAACAACCCAGACCGCCAGCUAAGGUCCCAAAGUCAUGGUUAAGUGGGAAACGAUGUGGGAAGGCCCAGACAGCCAGGAUGUUGGCUUAGAAGCAGCCAUCAUUUAAAGAAAGCGUAAUAGCUCACUGGUCGAGUCGGCCUGCGCGGAAGAUGUAACGGGGCUAAACCAUGCACCGAAGCUGCGGCAGCGAACGUAUCACUUAAAGCGAUUCAGCGGGUUACGAUUGACGGAGCGAAGCGACGUCAAAGCGUAUACAAAGUCGAGUCGGUUUAAGGAUACGUUCGUUGGGUAGGGGAGCGUUCUGUAAGCCCGUGAAGGUGGCCUGUGAGGGUUGCUGGAGGUAUCAGAAGUGCGAAUGCUGACAUAAGUAACGAUAAAGCGGGUGAAAAGCCCGCUCGCCGGAAGACCAAGGGUUCCUGUCCAACGUUAAUCGGGGCAGGGUGAGUCGACCCCUAAGGCGAGGCCGAAAGGCGUAGUCGAUGGGAAACGGGUUAAUAUUCCCGUACUUGGUGUUACUGCGAAGGGGGGACGGAGAAGGCUAUGUUGGCCGGGCGACGGUUGUCCCGGUUUAAGCGUGUAGGUGUGUGUUCCAGGUAAAUCCGGUUCACUUUAACACUGAGGCGUGACGACGAGGCACUACGGUGCUGAAGCAACAAAUGCCCUGCUUCCAGGAAAAGCCUCUAAGCAUCAGGUAACACGAAAUCGUACCCCAAACCGACACAGGUGGUCAGGUAGAGAAUACCAAGGCGCUUGAGAGAACUCGGGUGAAGGAACUAGGCAAAAUGGUGCCGUAACUUCGGGAGAAGGCACGCUGACACGUAGGUGAAGUGAUUUACUCAUGGAGCUGAAGUCAGUCGAAGAUACCAGCUGGCUGCAACUGUUUAUUAAAAACACAGCACUGUGCAAACACGAAAGUGGACGUAUACGGUGUGACGCCUGCCCGGUGCCGGAAGGUUAAUUGAUGGGGUCAGCGCAAGCGAAGCUCCUGAUCGAAGCCCCGGUAAACGGCGGCCGUAACUAUAACGGUCCUAAGGUAGCGAAAUUCCUUGUCGGGUAAGUUCCGACCUGCACGAAUGGCGUAAUGAUGGCCAGGCUGUCUCCACCCGAGACUCAGUGAAAUUGAACUCGCUGUGAAGAUGCAGUGUACCCGCGGCAAGACGGAAAGACCCCGUGAACCUUUACUAUAGCUUGACACUGAACAUUGAGCCUUGAUGUGUAGGAUAGGUGGGAGGCUUUGAAGUGUGGACGCCAGUCUGCAUGGAGCCGACCUUGAAAUACCACCCUUUAAUGUUUGAUGUUCUAACGUGGACCCGUAAUCCGGGUUGCGGACAGUGUCUGGUGGGUAGUUUGACUGGGGCGGUCUCCUCCUAAAGAGUAACGGAGGAGCACGAAGGUUGGCUAAUCCUGGUCGGACAUCAGGAGGUUAGUGCAAUGGCAUAAGCCAGCUUGACUGCGAGCGUGACGGCGCGAGCAGGUGCGAAAGCAGGUCAUAGUGAUCCGGUGGUUCUGAAUGGAAGGGCCAUCGCUCAACGGAUAAAAGGUACUCCGGGGAUAACAGGCUGAUACCGCCCAAGAGUUCAUAUCGACGGCGGUGUUUGGCACCUCGAUGUCGGCUCAUCACAUCCUGGGGCUGAAGUAGGUCCCAAGGGUAUGGCUGUUCGCCAUUUAAAGUGGUACGCGAGCUGGGUUUAGAACGUCGUGAGACAGUUCGGUCCCUAUCUGCCGUGGGCGCUGGAGAACUGAGGGGGGCUGCUCCUAGUACGAGAGGACCGGAGUGGACGCAUCACUGGUGCAACG